rnacentral:rRNA from 1 species
GACGAACCGUGCGAACGUUAUUCGGAAUCACUGGGCUUAAAGCGCGUGUAGGCGGAUGGGAGCGUCGGAACCUGAAAGCCCCCGGCUCAACCGGGGAAGUGGGGCCGAAACGACCCGUCUGGAGGGACGUAGGGGGAUCUGGAACUUCCGGUGGAGCGGUGAAAUGCGUUGAGAAUCGGAAGGAACGCCCGUGGCGAAAGCGAGAUCCUGGA